rnacentral:piRNA from 1 species
UNCAAGUUGGAUGGUGUCACUCUGUACUAUC